rnacentral:rRNA from 1 species
UACGUAGGUGGCAAGCGUUGUCCGGAUUUAUUGGGUUUAAAGGGUGCGUAGGCGGCCCUGUAAGUCAGUGGUGAAAUACGGCAGCUCAACUGUCGAGGUGCCAUUGAUACUGCGGGGCUUGAGUGUUGAUGAGGCAGGCGGAAUUGACGGUGUAGCGGUGAAAUGCUUAGAUAUCGUCAAGAACACCGAUAGCGAAGGCAGCUUGCCAAGCAAUAACUGACGCUGAGGCACGAAAGUGCGGGGAUCAAACAGG